CCAUCAUCCGAUCGAUCUUCUGCGCCUCUCCAGGCAGCCGAAAGCUCCACAGGAACUGCCGCAGUGCCUGGACGAGGUUGAGGUCCGUGAACUCGUGCAGCUCCACGAAGGCGUGCAGGACUUGGAUGUUGAACUCAUCCCUCUCGCCCAGGUAGUCCCCAAUGGCUGUUUUGUUGAGGCCCUCUCCCUUGUAGAGGAACUGAGCGAUAUCUUCACACGUGUUCUUCAGCAAGUCGUUCUCAAUCAGGAACUGAAUGCCCUUCUUGGGAUCCAUGUUGAACUUCUUCCUGCCCAUUGCCACCUGUUUGUUCCUCUGCAUGUUUUUCCUCUCCUCCGUGGAGCCCAGGUUCUCGAUCUCAUUCGUCACUUCUGCGAUCUCAUCUUUCAGCCGCUGAAUGUCAGCCAGCAGCUCCUGCUUGCGGCGGCGGAUGUUCUCCAGCUCCUGGCACUCCUCCGGGGUCAGGUCACUGGGCACGUAGCCGCCCUCCUCGUCCAUGCCGCCUCCGUCGCUCCGGCCCCGCCCGC
rnacentral:lncRNA from 1 species